UCGAUAAAUUCCAGCUCGAAAAAAAUGUAGCUGAUGAACGUUUUGAUGAUUUGUGACUUUGCCCUUUAAGAAGCCCGUGAUGCCAAAUAACAAAUAUGGGGCCAAUUGUUGCAGCCAAACAGACAGUAAAAAGAAAAGCAUUCUUACCUGGAUUGUGCAUAUCAGGGCAGAUGACGGAGCAUCGGCGGCGCCAGAGGGAAGAUGCAAAUGGUGGGGAGAAACAGAGACAUAAAAAGAAAGUCUUGAUGAGUGUGCAAGUUCAGAACGUGCCAAAUCUCCCGUCGCUGGAAGAAUCCGGACUACAAUGCAACAAAUCCCGUA